rnacentral:rRNA from 1 species
UACAGAGGGGGCAAGCGUUGUUCGGAAUUACUGGGCGUAAAGGGCGCGUAGGCGGCCUGCUAAGUCGAUCGUGAAAUCCCCGGGCUUAACCCGGGAACUGCGACCGAUACUGGUUGGCUAGAAUUCGGGAGAGGGAUGCGGAAUUCCAGGUGUAGCGGUGAAAUUCGUAGAUAUCGGAAGGAACACCGGUGGCGAAAGCGGCGCGCUGGACCUCUUCUGACGCUGAGGCGCGAAAGCCAGGGGAGCAAACGGG